rnacentral:tRNA from 1 species
GCCGGGCUAGCUCAAUCGGUAGAGCGUGAGACUCUUAAUCUCAAGGCUGGGGGUUCGAGCCCCCCGUUCGGCU